ACCUUACAUUUGCACGGCGUUUUAAUUUAAUUAUUAAGUAACGGCAGUUUCGUAAUGUGAUUAUUUUUAAUAUAUUUGACUCCUUGGUAUUAAUGUUAUUAUUUUUUAUAUAUUGACUCCUUGAUAUUAACGUUUGUUACCUAAAUUACGAACGUUGUACUUUUGACUUCCCACGCCAGAUGGUGGGUGUUACGUUUUUUAAGAAAGACGUGUGUUGCGCCUCUUUUUAUGUUGUUCAUUUAUUAUUCUUUGGCAUUGUCUUUUGCUUUUUACAUGUUCUGCACUCUAAUAACUUAUCAUCGAUCUAUUUUAUGUUUCAUAGUUUAUAAAAAACAAUAUGCCAAUGUAUUUUAGAUAUUCUCCUGCAUCUGCUAUGUGUUAGGGCGUGUCAAGCCCCGUCACACCGAGGUCUGCUGAACAAGUGCAGGUAAACAGCGACCUCAGUCUAUGUGAUCGCCGUAAUGCAUAGUGUCAACAGUGCAUCCCAAUUUAAGUUAUACAAUAUAGCACUGAAGAUGGUCACUCAGUGACAGAAAAUCGAUUCUGCAAUAGUAAAAAUAUACGACCAAUGCUGUCUCUUUUUUCAAGUAUACCUGUUAUCUGGUCGUUGUGCACAAGACAACAUGGAGUC